UUACGGCGAUAUCACGUUGAAACAUCGCUUCCUGUACGCUCACUGAAGUUAAGCAACAUCGAGCCUGGUCAGUAUCUAGAUGGGUGACCGCUUGGGAAUACCAAUGCUGUAA